rnacentral:rRNA from 1 species
GUUGAACGCUGGCGGCAUGCCUUACACAUGCAAGUCGAACGGCAGCACGGGGGCAACCCUGGUGGCGAGUGGCGAACGGGGUGAGUAAUAUAUCGGAACGUACCCCUGGAGUGGGGGAUAACGUAGCGAAAGUUACGCUAAUACCGCAUACGAUCUAAGGAUGAAAGUGGGGGGAUCGCAAGACCUCAUGCUCCUGGAGCGGCCGAUAUCUGAUUAGCUAGUUGGUGGGGUAAAGGCCUACCAAGGCAUCGAUCAGUAGCUGGUCUGAGAGGACGACCAGCCACACUGGGACGUGAGACACGGCCCAGACUCCUACGGGAGGC